rnacentral:rRNA from 1 species
AUUGAACGCUGGCGGCAGGCCUAACACAUGCAAGUCGAACGAGUGGCGGACGGGUGAGUAAUGUCUGGGAAACUGCCCGAUGGAGGGGGAUAACUACUGGAAACGGUAGCUAAUACCGCAUACCAUCGGAUGUGCCCAGAUGGGAUUAGCUAGUAGGUGGGGUAACGGCUCACCUAGGCGACGAUCCCUAGCUGGUCUGAGAGGAUGACCCGCCACACCGGAACUUAGACACGGGCCAGAAUCCUUCGGGAGGCAGCAGGGGGGAAUAUUGGAAAAUGGGGGCAAGCCUGAUGCAGCCCUGCCGGGUGUAAGAAGAAGGCCUUCGGGUUGGAAAGGACUUUCAGCGGGGAGGCGGUACUCGCAGAAGAAGCACCGGCUAACUCCGUGCCAGCAGCCGCGGUAAUAC